UUCGCAAUGCCCGAAAGGGUGACUAUGCGACGCCGCGUGAGCGAUGAAGGUCUUCGGAUUGUAAAGCUCUGUCAAGUGGGAUGAAUACCCUGACCCUAAUAUGGUCAGGGGAUGACAGUACCACUGGAGGAAGCCACGGCUAACUCCGUGCCAGCAGCCGCGGUAAUACGGAGGUGGCAAGCGUUGCUCGGAUUUAUUGGGUGUAAAGGGCAGGUAGGUGUCUUGGUAAGUUCUGGCUGAAAUCCUUCGGCUCAACCGGAGAACUGGUCAGAAAACUGCCAAGAUUGAGUGCGGGAGAGGAGAACGGAAUUCCCGGUGUAAGGGUGAAAUCUGUAGAGAUUGGGAAGAACACCAGUGGCGAAAGCGGUUCUCUAGAACGAUACUGACACUGAACUGCGAAAGCUAGGGGAGCAAACGGGAUUAGAUACCCCGGUAGUCCUAGCCGUAAACGAUGGGCACUAAGUAGAGGGGUUUU
rnacentral:rRNA from 1 species